ACCUCCUACAGAUCUACAAAAAGGAGAAAGAGAAAAUGGACAAAGCCUUCUGUAUUCUUCAACAGAUAUCAAUGGUAGAAAGAAGAAAAUAACAAAAUUAUCCUUGGC
rnacentral:lncRNA from 1 species